UUGGGGCAUCUCUAAAACUGUGCUUGCCUCUCCUCCUUUCACACAGGUGUCCGGGUAAAGGCUGACUUUCAGUGAUUCCUGAGGUGCGUGACAUUUCGUUGCUGAGCCGGUUACUGACUGCAUCCUGGUGACUGCAUCAGACACGUACUAUUUUUACCCAGAGUGAACUCCUUUGACCUCAGUCUUCUGUUUUCUGAAUUUGAAUCGCUUGGAAAAUCUGCGAGGAGAAAGGACGCUAGG
rnacentral:lncRNA from 1 species